UCUCUCUCUCUUUCUUCUACAGAGAAUUGACGCCUCCUCCUCUGCCUCUGCUUCUUCUCUCUCUCUCCGGUCCCUUCUCAUCCCCAAAGCCACCCUCAACACCACCACCACUCCAACCCCUACCCUACCUAAACCACAAAUCACAGGGACUCUCUCUCUCCUUCCUCUCCAGUAACGCCAUCGUUUCUGGACAAGGAAAGAGGGAUUUUGAAGAUCGCCGAUCUUGGACUCGGCUGUGCCUUCACUGUACCUCGCAAGAGUUACACGCACGAGAUUGUUACUCUGGUACAGAGCACUGGAAGUUCUGCUCGGUUCAACUCAUUACUCUACCGACGUCGAUAUGUGGUCCAUCGGAUGUCUUUUCGUCACUCUCAUACUUCGGAGCUGUGAAGCAACUGGAACUAGAUUCUGUUCAUAGUUUCCAGAGUUAGCUUCCUGGACUAAAGAUAUGAUGACUGAAGCUAUGUUUUCUCUCAACACUAUGACAGAGGAUGGCAACAUCAAGGAGGUAGAGCAGAUAAUUCAAGUGGAGAAUGGUGAAAAAAUUACUCCAAAAUAGAAAGUGGCACAAUUAAAAGCACCAUACGUAGGGAUGGUAUUUGACACAAUGGAAGAAAAGAAAGUGUACAUUAUGCAAAAAGAUAGCACAACAGGACAAAAGAAAUUGUCCAUCAAAUCUGAAAAGAAGAAAGAAUGAAUCAGCAAAUCCAUGCAAAGAAGAGUUAGAAGACUUGUGCCAAGAUGUGGAGAGUGAUGACUAAGAAUAUUGUUAAUGCUUCGGAGUUUCAGUAGAUAGCAAUGUUUCAUACUUGAAUUCUGCUUACUCUGGUGAGGAGGUUGAAGUUGAGGCCAAGGCUUUACGAGUUGGGAAGCCUGUUGGUGUUGCCAGUGUUGAGUUAAGGAAGAAGAAGACAUGCAAAAUUAUAGCUUAGGGCUGUCAUACCAAGUAUCUUGCUCUCACUAGCAAACUCUGAACAGCUUGGAAGUUGAAAUUUUCUUCAGACUUGUAUGGAAUAUUAAGAAGCCUUUUUUGCUUAGACUUGUAUAAAAUAUUGAGAAGCUUUUUGGUAUUGUCAGUAUUGAAUUUAGGAAGAAGAAAACAAGGGAAACAUUGUUGUCAAUUGGUGCUUCUCUCUACACUCAAUUUCUUAUGCUUCUGGCUUCUUAAAAACUUUAGUUGGUGCUUGUUUCAUACCCUGGAUUGCAGCAACCAAAGAGCCUCCGCCAACAGGAAAGGCUGGAAAUUUCAUGCAAAUGGUGAACACAAUAAUGGUGGAUGCUCUGUUACAGGCUUACAGCAAAAUAAUAACUCAACUCUCUUCAAAAGACCUUAUAGAAUGAACUUGCUCGGUGUCACACAACUGUGCACUCUAUUGAUGAAUAUCCCAAAAUACAUAGGCAAAAUUAUCUACUUGUCUUGAAUCAUUAUCAUUUCCAACCAUCUGUAGUAAAUCCUCCACCCGUGAUUGAGCAAGAUCGAGUUGCUUUUUCAGCUCUCUAAUUUCCUUCUACAUCUAUAAAAAUGUGGCAUGCCAUGUGUUGGUUUAAAUGCAUUGGAUCUGACACUUUCUUAACUGUGAACUUUGAACCAACAAUUCAGUGUUCCCAUUUACAAAUUUUGCUCAUGGUUAUAGUUCGAAGAGUUUCACAUACAGACAAUGCUUAAUAGCAUCUCUCCUCAGACUGAUACUAAUUUGAAAAAGUUGUCAAAAACCACAAGAUUCAAUUGCUUAACUUAUAUAUCGUAACAUGAUACAACUGAUUAAUGAAAAAAAAAUAUAAAUCAAGAAAAUUGAGUUGACUAUUUGAGUCAUAAUUCAUUAAAAUUGUAUUCGUCAUUGUAAUUCUACCCAUUAAAUUCGUCAUUUGCAACAUACGUCACUGUAUCCAUUACUGUCAUGCUCAAACUCUUCGUCACGAUUGUUCUUCUCAUUUGACAGUUGCAUAUCACCAUGACUGCCACAUUUAGACUUUGUGCCUUCUUUAAAUACAGGUGCAUAACCCUGAUUUUACAUGCUAUUCGAUUUGUUUGGCUUUUAGUUGCUUGUAGUCUGUGCAUCAGUUAACGAGACCUUAGAUGUUGACAGAACAUAAUAUGGGAUUUGCACAGCAUGAAUAAAACAAGAUUGAUUCUGAAAUAAGAGAUGUAAAAGAUGCUUACAAGAUCUUCAUUUAAUUUAUCCAAA